rnacentral:rRNA from 1 species
GAUGAACGCUGGCGGCGUGCCUAAUACAUGCAAGUCGAGCGAACGGACGAGAAGCUUGCUUCUCUGAUGUUAGCGGCGGACGGGUGAGUAACACGUGGAUAACCUACCUAUAAGACUGGGAUAACUUCGGGAAACCGGAGCUAAUACCGGAUAAUAUUUUGAACCGCAUGGUUCAAAAGUGAAAGACGGUCUUGCUGUCACUUAUAGAUGGAUCCGCGCUGCAUUAGCUAGUUGGUAAGGUAACGGCUUACCAAGGCAACGAUGCAUAGCCGACCUGAGAGGGUGAUUGGCCCCACCGGAACUGAGACACGGUCCAGACCCCCAAGGGGGGGAGCAGGAGGGAAUCUUCCGCAAAGGGGGAAAGCCUGACGGGGCAACGCCGCGUGAGUGAUGAAGGGCUUCGGAUCGUAAAAAUCUGUUAUUAGGGAAGAAAAAAUGUGUAAGUAACUAUGCACGUCUUGACGGUACCUAAUCAGAAAGGCACGGGUAAAUACGUG